rnacentral:sRNA from 1 species
UGUUACAUCUUCAGUUUUAAUUUCAAAGUUGGAUUAUGCGAUUUAUUUCGGGGAAAAUGUCAAAAAAAGCGCGAACUUUCAAAUUUGGGACGAAAAAAGCAUGAACUUUCGAAAUGUCAUUUAAUUCACAAAGUUUCGUUUGACUUUUUUAAAA